GGGCUCAGUACAGCCCGCAGUGGGGAGGGAUGACCGCUACACGAGAGGCAGGACUGUAGCACAGCACAUGCUGGACUGAGAGGCAGAGGGGCUCAGUGCUGGGGCUUCCUCGAUCAAUCAGGAGCUGGAGGCUGUCGUGGGUGGCUAAAGAGGGAGCUGUUUAAACCUUAACUGGAUCACUGCAGCCCUCUGCCCGGGAGCAGAGCUCUUUAUCGCUCAGGGAUGGGCAGGUUCUGCAGGAGCGUUUUGAACCCGUGUCCUCCCUGCUCCUGCCAGCCCAGUGACGAGUGCGUUGCCUUGCAUGUCCCCUGUGUCCCGUGUCUGUGCAGCUGUACCUGACGUGUCACCUGAAGGCCAUGCCUGCGGACAGAUCUCCGGACCCCGUGAACAAAGCCUGCUCCUUCAGCCACAGGACGCGCAGCUGGGCCCCGUUGGAGGGGCGAGCAGGGGUGUGCAGCUGCUGUAGGACGGGGACGUGUUCGGAGCCCAGCAGAGGGUCUGGCCAGAGAAGUGGAAGCCAUCUCCCCUUCGCAGAGGGAGGAGAGAUGGACACGGGGCUGGGGCCCCUCCAGGUCCUGCCCUACUCCCGCUGGACUGCUUCUCUUGCAGGAGCACCCCGCGCCCAUGGGGAGGGCUCGACUCAGGCAGGCUCGCUCCGGAGCCCGCCCAGACUCUUUCCCUGGCCACAGUGAGGUGAGGCUGGGGAUGUGGGAUUUGGGGGAGACGAUGAGACCGGGCUUGGAGUCGAUCAUGAAACUACGCGGAACAGUUGAUCUGGAUCAGCUGUGCGAUUGUGCAGAUUCCUGAAGUAGGGCCUGCUGGGGUCUGAGGCACACCUCUGCUGUGCUCCUCACACUCCACUAGGUGGCAGGGGAGUCCACUCUUUCACAGCUCUGUUCCCAGUCUUGGGAAAGUUACACUAACAUUAAUUCUUUAGUGGAAACUUUAAUCUCCUGUCAGAGCUGAAAGACAGUUGCAUGUUUUCUAACUGGUGAAUUUCUAAUUAAUUUAGAGAUCUGCUAGAGGGCACCUGAAGGGCAGCAGUUAUAUAUUUGAAUGUUUGCAAUGGAUACUUCUGUCCAGCAAGGGGCGCUAUUACACUUCUAUCUAAAAAGCACCAAAAAAUUUAAGAUCCAACAGAAGCAAGCGGGGCACUGGGCUUUCCUGCUCGAGCAGGGUUCUGGAUAGGGGGUCCAGCGGGCCUCCUGGAGCGAAGGCUCGGUUCUCUGCCCUGCUGGACUGAGGGGUGUCAGAUCUGCGCUGUGGACAGCAGUGUGCUGGACCUGCCUACUCGGAUGGGGGACUGGUGGAGGGUGUCUCCUGCUGGGAACGGCCUGACCCCUUCACAAAGGGGUUGGAUUGUGUGGGACCCAGGCUCCCUGAACUGUCCAGCAUUUAAGGCUGGUAUCCUUUUUAAAACAAGUCCCAUCCCCGAUGCAUGACAGUGCUGUGUAAGAAAGUUUAAUGCCUGCGAACGACAGUGGAAUAAUAAGGGGGCAGCAAACAAGCACCCAUCUCUCUAAAAUGUACAACCAGGGGGCUCCACUGGGGCCCCCCUAGGGGCUGACCCGUGGGCAGGUUGAGGCUCCAUUGUGGGGGGGCCCAGGGGCUGACCUGUGGACAGGUUGAGGCUCCACUGGGGCUCCCCAGGGGCUGACCUGUGGACAGGUUGAGGCUCCACUGGGGCUCCCCAGGGGCUGACCUGUGGACAGGUUUGAGGCUCCA
rnacentral:lncRNA from 1 species